rnacentral:rRNA from 1 species
GUAGGUGGCAAGCGUUGUCCGGAAUUAUUGGGCGUAAAGCGCGCGCAGUGGUUCUUUAAGUCUGAUGUGAAAGCCCCCGGCUCAACCGGGGAGGGUCAUUGGAAACUGGGGAACUUGAGUGCAGGAGAGGAAAGUGGAAUUCCACGUGUAGCGGUGAAAUGCGUAGAUAUGUGGAGGAACACCAGUGGCGAAGGCGACUUUCUGGCCUGUAACUGACACUGAGGCGCGAAAGCGUGGGGAGCAAACAGGAUUAGAUACCCUGGUAGUCCACGCCGUAAACGAUGAGUGCUAAGUGUUGGGGGGUUUCCGCCCCUCAGUGCUGCAGCUAACGCAUUAAGCACUCCGCCUGGGGAGUACGGUCGCAAAGACUG